rnacentral:rRNA from 1 species
AUUGAACGCUGGCGGCAUGCUUUACACAUGCAAGUCGAACGGUAACAGGCCGCAAGGUGCUGACGAGUGGCGAACGGGUGAGUAAUGCAUCGGAACGUGCCCAGUCGUGGGGGAUAACGCAGCGAAAGCUGGGUUAAUACCGCAUACGAUCUAUGGAUGAAAGCGGGGGACCGUAAGGCCUCGCGCGAUUGGAGCGGCCGAUGUCAGAUUAGCUAGUUGGUGGGGGAAAGGCCCACCAAGGCGACGAUCUGUAGCUGGUCUGAGAGGACGACCAGCCACACUGGGACUGAGACACGGCCCAGACUCCUACGGGAGGCAGCAGUGGGGAAUUUUGGACAAUGGGCGCAAGCCUGAUCCAGCAAUGCCGCGUGCAGGAAGAAGGCCUUCGGGUUGUAAACUGCUUUUGUACGGAACGAAACGGUCUGGGUUAAUACCCUGGGCUAAUGACGGUACCGUAAGAAUAAGCACCGGCUAACUACGUGCCAGCAGCCGCCGUAAUAC